GAUUUAGUUUUUUUUUCCUCCGUGAAUCUGAUGAGAGCAGAUGGUUGUUGCUGCUCCGGGAGAUUUUAAGCUCUAAAUCCAGCGAAAACUCAUGAUUCAGAGAGAAGCCGUGUAUGUGAGAUUGAUGGUUUGGAACAUUGUCAUCUGAAUUUUCCUGUUCUUCAGAUGCACAUUGUGUGCGAGUUCCUUGGCCAGGUUUUUUUGAUGUGUUUUAUUUCCAU